CAACAAUCUCAACAAAUUGAAGCUCAAAUCAAGACCCAAAUUGAUGCAUGAACACAUAUAAAUGAUCACCUAGUCGUGGGGAUCACAAGGUGGAGGCUUGGGAAAGAAGCGGUCAAACGAAUCAAGCACGAGAAGAAAAAGCGUAUUCGGGUGCGAGGAGUAAAUGUGAAAUGGGUAUUAGCAACGCCAUGGAUUAGCGGUUAUAAAAGCAAGGUAUUAAAA